AUUGAACGCUGGCGGCAGGCCUAACACAUGCAAGUCGAACGGUAACAGGAAGCAGCUUGCUGCUUUGCUGACGAGUGGCGGACGGGUGAGUAAUGUCUGGGAAACUGCCCGAUGGAGGGGGAUAACUACUGGAAACGGUAGCUAAUACCGCAUAACGUCGCAAGACCAAAGAGGGGGACCUUAGGGCCUCUUGCCAUCGGAUGUGCCCAGAUGGGAUUAGCGAGUAGGUGGGGUAACGGCUCACCUAGGCGACGAUCCCUAGCUGGUCUGAGAGGAUGACCAGCCACACUGGAACUGAGACACGGUCCAGACUCCUACGGGAGGCAGCAGUGGGGAAUAUUGCACAAUGGGCGCAAGCCUGAUGCAGCCAUGCCGCGUGUAUGAAGAAGGCCUUCGGGUUGUAAAGUACUUUCAGCGGGGAGGAAGGGAGUAAAGUUAAUACCUUUGCUCAUUGACGUUACCCGCAGAAGAAGCACCGGCUAACUCCGUG
rnacentral:rRNA from 1 species